rnacentral:misc_RNA from 1 species
AAUGGUGCGGCUAUGUGAGUUUCCAUGGAAACAGCAGCCAAACAAAACAUCACAGUGAACGACCCCACAUUUAUUUGGACACUGUGUGAUACUCUGACGCUGCUGCUUCUGUGUUUUACGUUGAGUUUCAUUCUUCUUCUUCGAAUAAUUGAUACACCGCAUCUGUGAUGGAACCAAAAAAUAUGAACAAUUGCUAUUCGUGGGGAGAGGAUGGCGAGUCGUACGUCGAUGAACAAGAUCGAUCGCUGCCCGCUGUUGAAGUGUCUCUGCCCACCGUCCGACAGCCUUUUCAACUCCUCGAUCAGAUGUUGGAUGACGAAGAACUACCGAGUUUAACCGAGUUAAGCACGAGCGAACCGGAUUCCAUUUCCUGCACCAAUAGUCCGCCGAGCCCCGAAACAUUCUCCAGAAUGACUGAAUACGACAAGCAAGAUGUGUGGAAUCUUUCCGGUAUUCCGGCGUCAGUUGCCAGUAGCAGCCAAUCGCUAAUGCGAACGUCCCACAGCAAGAAAUUCCUGUCUAGAAGCCACAACUCGCUCGUCUUUCGACAGCCAGAUUAUUCUAAAGUGGAGAGCAAAGUCAGGAAAUACAUCGUCUCCAUGAGGGAACAGCAAGAGAAGCGUCGACAGUACUCCAACAAUCAGUUUGACCCAACGCCAGUUCCAGCUUUAGAUGAACUAAUCCCAUCUUCCGAACGGAUGGCACCAGAAGAUGUGACCAAUUUGAAGCAACAAUUGGCUGAUCAAGGAGCCAUGGUCGAGGUACUUCAAGAAGACCAUGACCGACUAACAUUGCACAAUGCCCGACUUUUGAACAUGAUGGAGGAAAUGCGCGCCAAGAUGCGCAUUCUGCAUGCAAAGCAGCAUCAGGGACAGUCACAACAACAGACACGUCGUACAAACAGUCCUCCUCAGCCGGAAGUCGAUAAAGAUCUUUCAUUGAGUAAUGAGAUUUCUUUGUCAUCCAUUGGAGGUGAUGGCCCCCCAACAGCCAUCCAGCUGGGUUUGGCCCAUCAGCAUGAAGCUCUCAGCAUCACGCCAUCCUCUUACCUGGACUUACCCCCUCCAGCCGGACAGUUUAACAGGAAAAGGGAAGAUGAUGAAACCAGUAGCUGUGGCUCAAGCUGGAAUUCAACCAGACUUCAUCAAUCGCAGCAUGAACAGACGCCGAUUGAAACGCCUCCCGCUGGAGGAGUAGACAAAGCAAACGUAACAAAACAGGCCGUUCCCGAAGAGCCGUUGUUGCCAGAAAAUAAUGACAAGCUUAAUUUGCUACUGUUAAAGCAGUUGCAGGAGAUAACCUUUGCAGCUUUAGAAGUCAGAGACCAAACCCGCACUAUUAUCCGCCAAAUAAACCUAAUUCAACCUCCUGUGAAUGAAGAAACGUGAAAGCUGUACCUCUAAACUAAGAAACGAAGGAAAAGGAUAUAUAGUUGUUCGAAUCUUCGAGAGCCAAAUUAAACUUAUGAAUGAUGGACCGCCUUGCUGGCCGAACCAAAAUGGAAUUCCAAUCAACUGAUCGUUAAAGAGGAAGAGCCCCACACUCUGAAGCGUGUGGUUAGUGGCAUCGAUGCCGAUAUCCUAAUAUAGAAGCCACACUGGCCGGUAUCGCAACCAGCAACAAAGCUUCUUUCCAUGCUCCCAUGUUUUCCCAGCAUGUUUCCAAGCGCUCCACGGUAUCCUUAGCGCGUCGUUGUCUGAUACCUGCUGCUCAAGCUCGAUGGGGGCCCUAGCGCGUAUCUUCCUGAUUUUCAAUCACACGCGCAUUUCUCAUCGUCGACAGACCGGUUGGAAUCAUUAUGUACCCGGCCGCGAUUAAAUCUUGGCCGAUGGCAACAAAAGCUAACAUUUUAUGAUCUCAACUUGAUCUUGAAGGACUAUACUGAAUCUGUGGUUAAUGAGACCAGUUCAGGCCAAGAUUUUAAAAUAUUUGACUUUAAAUGUUAUUGUGCUUUUCAGGGUAGUCAUAUAGAGGAUCGCCAGACGGCUUUAAUCGAGGUUACAUUGUUCGAAGUUUUGUGCCUUUAAAUUUUCUGUGAUGUGUUUUUAAAAAUGCGGAUGAAGCUUAACACAUAAAACAGUAAAAACAAAAUCCAUUAGAGAUGUCACCAGCAAUUUUCUUCUUUAAUUGUUCAUGUAAAAAGGAUGAUUUACCGAAAUCUGUUGAAUGUUUGUCAGUGGGUUCGAGAGUUGUGC